rnacentral:rRNA from 1 species
AUACGUAUGGGGCAAGCGUUAUCCGGAUUCAUUGGGCGUAAAGCGCGCGUAGGCGGCUUGUUAAGUCAGGCGUGAAAUCCGGGGGCUCAACCCGCGGCUUGCGUCUGAAACUGGCAGGCUUGAGUCUGGUAGAGGAAAGUGGAAUUCCUGGUGUAGCGGUGAAAUGCGCAGACAUCAGGAGGAACACCAGUGGCGAAGGCGGCUUUCUGGGCCACGACUGACGCUGAGGCGCGAAAGCUAGGGGAGCGAACAGGAUUAGAUACCCUGGUAGUCCUAGCCGUAAACGAUGGGCACUAGGUGUGGGGGGUCAUCGACUCCCUCCGUGCCGAAGCUAACGCAUUAAGUGCCCCGCCUGGGGAGUACGGCCGCAAGGCUAAA